UUUCCCUCCCUUUUCAUCCCACACUAUGCUAUGGUACACACUAUGGUUCCACACUAUGUUCUGGUACAACCCUUUUUCGAAAACGUGUAGUGUGUACCAUCCAUGUCCUUACUUGAGAAGGUACAAGAAAGAUUUCAUCUUUGUACGUGAGAUAAGGUGCUUUUUAGCUAGCUAGUUUGAGUCUCUUAAAAGUUAAGAUCCUAAAUAUACUAAUACAUUAAAGCUGGUAUGAAUCUUUAUAAGUACCACUUAGGGAUAUUGUUUGGGCAGGGUGUUCAUUUUACUGUACUGGUGAUACUAACUUCCCAGUCUCUGGAACUUUCCCAGUAGGUUAUGAUCAAUGCCAGGCUAGUAGGAAAUUCAAAUCCAUGACCUGUCAGUCCUAUACAUUCAGUUGUCCAAGUGGAGACAAGACUCAAUUUGGGUAUCUAAGGUAUAUAAGUCUGUGGCUUUCUGCAGGUUCUGUCUGGGACCAGUGUCAUUGUUUUAUUUGCUGUCAUUUCUUUUUCUAUUACCUGAACAUUACCAUCCUUUCCAAGAGCUGAUUUCAUAUUAGUUGCCAGUACACUUGUCUUAUGGGUAGUUGGCAUCUAUCUGUUCACUACUUUGGGACAGCAUUCAGCUCUGAUACUGCUACUGGAGUAUCUUAUUACAAGUGCAAAAGUGCUCUUUGAGUAGCACCAUUGCCUGACUUCAUGCCAGCAGCACGGCUUUUGCUCAAUCCUGCAUACUAUUGCAGCUUUGUUCUGCUACACUUUUCUGCAGGUACUGCCUGUUGCCUUCGUCCCAGUGAUUACUUGAUGCCUGAUGAACUGUCUGCUAUAAUAUAUCCCACCCCAGCCUCCUACAUUUCAUUUGAUGCUGUUUUUUUCCUAUCUGGGGAUUGAACUUUUUACACUAAGCAAACAUUCUGCUGUUAAACUGCAGCCCUGUGUAGCUUUGCCUGCCUGCCUGCGCCUGUUGCAGAGAUCAGGAGUAGUUACAGAUAGUUGUGAGCCUCUAUUCGGGCUCUGGGAACCAAAACCCAGGUCCUCUGCAAAAACAGCACGCACUCUUUACAGCCUUCCCCUUUAUAAAAAAUUCUGUGAUGAAUGGCAUUAGACCAUUUCUGAAGGGCACCCACCCUCCUGGAACUUAGGGCUCAUCCUUUCCUUUCUCUCACACUGUUAUUUUUAAAUCUGUCUUGAAUACAAAUUCCUAAAGUUUCCUGCCAUUUUCUAGUUUCUUUCCUUAAGCAUCUAUCUCACUGUUGCCACCUCCCUCCACACCUUUCCUCAGAAGUUAGCCUCUUUCAAAUGUAAGCAGGGGGCAGGUGUGAGAAAUUUCUAACUACCAUGUCCAUUGGAUUUUAAUUAAUGAAGCUAUAAUUAAUACUGUUUUACAAUAAGCUUCCCAAAUACUAGAUCAAUCUCUGAGUUAUUAGAACUUUAGCUAUCACAUUUUCCCCUCAUAAUGUAGCGUUUGAGUUUGAAUUGUUUACUCAGAAUAACUGACUUUCUAUUUUGUUCUGUAGCUUUCUCUUUAUAUGGAUAAAUUUGAAGAAUUCCAGACUACUAUGGCAAAAAGCAAUGAACUUUUUACAACCUUCAGGCAGGAAAUGGAAAAGGUAUUUAUAUAUUUUAGUAGACUGAAACAUAAAAGGGAUCUUUUGAGUUCUUUAUUACUAAUUGGGUAUGUUUAUUGUUAAUGUGUCCCCAAAGAGCUAAUCUUUUAGGAUUCUGUUUUAAUUGCUUACUUCCAUUCAUUUCACAAAAUCCUUUUCUUGCCUGCAUUAAAAAAAUAAAACAGAUCUUGGGGGCUGGAGAGAUGGCUCAGUGGUUAAGAGCACUGGCUGCUCUUCCAGAGGUCCCAGCAAGUACAUGGUGGCUCUCAACAAUCUAUAUGGGAUCAUAUGGUGAGUCAGAAAACAGUGACAGCAUACUCACAUAUAUAAAAUGAAUUAAUUUUUAAAAAACAAAAACAGAGCUUGUAGCCCAGACUGGUACAAGCUGAUGACAUUGAACAUCUGAUGCUCUAUUGCACCACUGCACUUUGAUGCCAAGGCUGGUCUUGUAUUCUAGGGCUCAAGCAGCCCUCUUGCCUCAAUCCUCAGUCUUCCCAGCUACAGGUACACAGUCAGACUACAAUGGAGUAUUAUUAAAAGUGCUGCUGAAAAGUACCUAAUGUAUGGUAGCCAAGAAUGCAUGCUCUGGAUCAGCACACUGCUUGCUGUUGCAGAGGUACCCAUGUUGAGUGGCUCACAACAGUCUGUAAUUCAAGGUGAUCUGCCCCCCCCCCUAAACACUAAUAAAAAUAAAUCUGUACGGUAAGGAGAUGGCUCAGUGGUGAAUAGUGCCUGCUACUCUUCCAGUUCAGUUCCAACACCCGUGUCAAGUCGCUCAUAAAUACCUGUAAUUCCAGCUUCAGGAAAUCCAUGACUGUGUACACGUAGACAAACACAGAAAUAAAAUAUAAAUCUUUAAAAACUGU
rnacentral:lncRNA from 1 species